rnacentral:rRNA from 1 species
GCAUGUGGUUUAAUUCGAAGCAACGCGCAGAACCUUACCAGCCCUUGACAUCCCGGUCGCGGUUUCCAGAGAUGGAUUCCUUCAGUUCGGCUGGACCGGUGACAGGUGCUGCAUGGCUGUCGUCAGCCCGUGUCGUGAGAUGUUGGGUUAAGUCCCGCAACGAGCGCAACCCUCGCCCUUAGUUGCCAUCAUUCAGUUGGGCACUCUAAGGGGACUGCCGGUGAUAAGCCGAGAGGAAGGUGGGGAUGACGUCAAGUCCUCAUGGCCCUUACGGGCUGGGCUACACACGUGCUACAAUGGUGGUGACAGUGGGCAGCGAGACCGCGAGGUCGAGCUAAUCUCCAAAAGCCAUCUCAGUUCGGAUUGCACUCUGCAACUCGAGUGCAUGAAGUUGGAAUCGCUAGUAAUCGCGGAUCAGCAUGCCGCGGUGAAUACGUUCCCGGGCCUU